GAAGCGUGCCCGAACAAUAAGGGCUAUUUUGAUAAAAUAGUCAUGGAGACAAACCCUCUCGCUUCUC
rnacentral:tRNA from 1 species